rnacentral:lncRNA from 1 species
AACAAAGAGCUAAUGACAAGUUGCUUAAGAAUGAUUAAUAGAUCAAUCAGUCACAUUAAAGCUUAUACAGUAAUAUUUUGUUGUAACUGAACUUACUCAUAAUUCUAUGUACUAUUUGCCACAAUGGAAAUCGCAUAUGCUGUCAAGUGACACUAGAAUCUGUGCUAUUGCAGAAAUUUGGAAUGAAAUUGCAGCUGUGUCAGGGGCUGAGUCCUUUAUGACCACAUCGAAAGAAACUACUGCCAGAAUGAGAACCUCAAGGGACUUGGAUGGUCUGCCUUCCCAUUUUGAUGUCCUUCUCGUACCCUUCUGUUUGUGUGGUCACGAUUAAGCCACGUCAACAUUUUAUAUUACUAUUUCUUUUUGUUUUAUUAUUUAAAAAAAAAACAAUAUAAAAUGUUGACGUGGCUUAACCGUGAUCACACAAAACAGGAGGGCACCGAAAUGGGAGGGCAGACAAUCCAAGUCCAACCUCAAGAGGUCCAAUUAUAGUCAAAGCUACAGUGCUUUCUGUUGUGUCCAAAACCCAGAGCAUGUUCGUAACUAUCUGGAAACUUAACAUA